rnacentral:lncRNA from 1 species
UUUCAUGGUGUUGCUUCUACAGGUACGACCGAGGAGGAGGCAGAGGUGGGUAUGAUGAUGACCGGCACCACGGCAGGCAUCGUGCUUCAGGUGAGGAUUUGCCCUUCUUCAUUCAGAAUUCAAUCCUAUCGAUCAGUCUCCAAAAGUAAGUAUACGGAACAUCAAACCAUCGGUGGGAAAAGUUUACGAGUGCUCGGCUGCACCAUUAGCUUUCAUCCAAGGGGUGCUCUUAGUUGCAGUUCGAAAUUUGACCACCUAACCGUAUCUGUCUACCAAUUUGUUAUCAUGAUUCAUCAUUUCUUUUUUACCUUUAGAAAAGACUCCUUGUUCAUUCAGUGAAAAAUCUGAUGACGGCUCAAUUAUGAUAUCCAGAUUGGCCUGAUUCUAGAUUUGGGGCACCGAAUGAUGGUCCUGGGAAUACCCAAAGGUAUAUAUGUAUAUAAUUACCUACACCUACAUGUUUAUUUCCCUGCUGUGGUUAGUCUUUUGGGUUUCUAGACACUCUUAUUUUUUUCUCCUGGGCACCAUAAAUAUGUAGGAAUCGUCAGUAUUGUAAAAAAAUAUGGAAAUUAAGUUGUCUACUAUGCUCUUAGCCACAGUUAACAGAUAGAGAAUCUUCUUAGAAAUUCUCCAUAUUUGAUGUUCGAAAGCAAACUGAUCCUUGGCUAUAUGCACGUUGGAUUUUCGAUUCUUCAUUACUCUUUAUUAGCCACCAGCAAGCCUUGUGCUCUUUUUACAGUCAGUACUACUACCACCACAAAAGGCUCGUCCCAGUCGUAUAGCAGCUAAACUAUCGAAGGCAGGAUUAGUGUAUGUUUUGGAUACAGUCAAAUGGAGAAUCUGAUGAGAAUAUUCUUUAUCUGUUAACAAUAGGUAGUUUGGGCAUUGACUUUAUUUGAAUUAUUUCUCAGUGUUUUUUAUCAAAAUGAUAAACACGAGGCCAACUUUGCUGGUUAUUUUAUUGUUUGCAUGUUAUAGUCCACUAUUUUGAUGUGCAUGCUACUAUAUUGAGCGCAAAUCUACAUUAAAAAUUCCGUGUAAAAAUUUGAGAUAUAUGUAGUUGUGAACUAUUUUAGUUUCUUGCAUAUUUGCAUAGAUAUUCAUGCUACACGAUUUACACUAAUCCUUUUUUAAUGUAUUCAUCUUUGCCAUUUUCAUCAUAUCUGCAAUAAGUUCCUUUAUUGAUUGGUACUUGUUCAAAAGAGGGACAUGAAUGGAUGGCCCAUUUUGUUUGGAGUAGUUGGGUUAAAUCAUAUAUUUUUCCACCUGGUGUGAACAUGCAUUUUACCACUACAAAAAGUCAUUCUUAAAGGUUGAUGGAUUUAAAUUAUAUACAUUAUAUGUCCUGUACAAAGAAGAGCAAAUUGGUGCAGUGAGUGUGGUGGAUAGUGUGUCACUCAAACUGCAUCGAUUAGUAUUUUUGUGUGGAGAACACAAGUCAUGUUUUGGCACCAUAUCUUGCAAGUGUACUUAAUUGUUAUGGCAUGAUACGAUCCCUGAUUUCUCAAGAACACAUUACACCUUAUGGAGCACAUAGAAAUUUGAAUACGUGGAUGUGGAAAUCAGGUUUUGACUAUGCAUUAGAAGGUUAGAUGGUCCAGGUCUAUUAUGUACUGGUAUUAGUGCUAUAUAUCUACAUUGUCUAACUUUAACUUAUUAGUUCAAUAUUUUGGAUUCCACAUCGUUAACCACCUGGUGCGGCUCCUCCAUCAAUUCGGUAAUUUCAAAGUCUAAGCUAGGUGGACUGUGAAGUACAAAAUUACUAAGAAAUUAAUUACACCGGGUCAUAAAGAUUCUCUUGCUUGGUAAAGUUUUUGGUUGAAAGUUCUAAGACGAUGAUACUGUUACAAUCCGAUGGAGCUGUGCUAAUCUCCUGGCUCCUUGCCCUGAUGGACACCACACAACUGCACUGCAACCUGCAGUUCUUUCCCUGCUCACCAUGACCCGCCUCCUCAUCUUUAUCCGAGAUAAAGGGUAACGUAGACCAUCUCCUCACCAUUGUUAGUUCAUGUUUUCUCUCAACCCAGCCUUUGCAUGUGUGCUGAAGGAUUGUUUACCUGUUUACAAUUGGUGGCUUUCAUAAUUUUCUUCAUAGUUGUUUGUUCGAUAUAAUCUUUAAAAUUAGAAUUGCCUAGAACUUUACAUUACUUUAGAACUCAAUUUUCUUGGUAGCUGUUUGUUGGAUAUAAUCUUUAAAAUUUGAAUUGUCGAGAACUUCACAACUGUAGAUCUCGCUCCUCUUGGUGUUGCUCCUUAUCGAUUCCAAUUUUGCUAACUAAGCAGAACUUUUUCCCUAUUGCCUCCGAAAGCCCAAAGGAGUGUAUUGAUUAAUUUUAUUUACAGGUUUUCAUCGAGUCGGACAUGAUUCCAUUUUUAAAGUGUAGUUGGACAGUUCCAAGUAUUUGUUUUCAUCAUGUCGGGAUCUCGGAAAUAUUUGCUGGAGGAAGUACUGCAGUACUGAUAGAGGCUCUUUCUCUUAAUUUAGAUCACUUUGUUGGGCUUCUUUCAAAAUCACAUCCAUGCUAUUGAUGGUGUGAUUUCUCUAUUUUUUGCUUAUUUAGUACUCGCCACUCCUCUCUAAUUGCCUGUUGGUUAUCUCAUUUUUCCCUUUUUCUGUUGAGCAAUUUUUUCUAUUGCUGUGGUAGGCCGGAAUCAGUUUUUUGUUUAAAUCGUAGAUGAAUAGUCAGUUCUACAUAUAUGUAACAUAUGCUAUUUUUGUUGCCUCAUAUUAACAUGGGAAUCAAGGAAGUUUCUGCAAAUGUAUUCUUUUGGUUGUUUUGUGCCAUUUUUAUCCCUGUGAACAAUCUGAGAGUUUUAUUUAAAGUAAAUUCAUGGCCUGAACGGGCUGUAAAAUUCAUUAAUCAAAUAAGUGUUGUCUAACAAGUGUUAUUGAUAAAGCACGAGUUUGAGAAAAUGAACGAAACUGUGAAUCUGAUGAAGCUUCCUUACACGGCGAAGUGGGCGGAUGCGAAAAACAACAGGAGUUAGAGAAAGGCACACCUUGAGCUUACCAUUUCCUGAGUGCCAAAGAAAGGUUCAUUGGAAUUAUCAACUUUAUUCAAUGUGAGGUAUUAACAAGCUUUAGAGUUCAAGCUUUCCGUGAAUAGCUUUUAUGCAAAAUCUUAAUGUAAUUCAUAAUUUGGUAGAAACAAUUAUGUUUUAAUAAUUUUAAUUUAUGUAUAAUGUAUCUUCUGUAUGAACCAAGUCAUAUUCUCGCACUAUCAUUUUCUUCAUUGUCUUUUUUUGUUCGCCUUUUUCUCCCGUUGCA